rnacentral:lncRNA from 1 species
GGAUGAUAUAUGUGAAAGUUCUUAGUAGGUACAGAAAUUAUACUAAAAAAGAUAAACAAAUCCACAUGCUAUGAUGCAGUGUGGACUAUCUUUGGUCACCUACAUGUCAAAGGUGGUCUUAAACUGCUCUGGUUUGGUAAAUGUUGGAGUAGACUAGAAGUCAGAGAGUAUGGAAUCCACCCUUAUUUGCUCUCAGGCUUUGGUUUACAAUGAGCUCAAGUGUAGGGAUUGUGUCAAAUGAUUCCUGGAAUCCUUUACAAUUAGUAAAAUUCUAUGAAUUCGUGAAGUCUGCAAAAUGUGAAUCUGAGGUGUAUGUAUUGUAGAGCAACUAUUAGACCAUUUAUCACUAUAUAUAUAUAUAUAUAUAUAUAUAUAUAUAUAUAUAAAAUUAUUUUUUUGAGAUGGAGUCUCGCUCUUUUGCCCAGGCUGGAGAGCAAUGGUGUGAUCUCGGCUCACUGCAACCUCCACCUCCUGGCUUCAAGCCAUUCUCCUGCCUUAGCCUCCCAAGUAGCUGGGAUUACAGGCGCCUGCCACCAUGCUGGGCUAAUUUUUGUAUUUUUAAUAAAAUGGGGUUUCACCAUGUUGGUCAGGCUGGUCUUGAACUCCUGACCUCAAGCAAUCCACCCACCUCGGCCUCCCAAAGUGCUGGGAUUACAGGCGUGAGCUACCACGCUCGGCCCUAUCACAUUAUAUUUUACAGAAGCCAUCAUCCCAUACCUUUGAGUCCAGCCCCAGAAAGAGCAGUCCCUUGCAUACCAUCCAGCAUGACCUUGGGCAUCCUUUCCCCACUCCCCACCAUAGCUGUUUGGGCUAGAGUUGGAAACCUGUCCACGGUAGGCCCCUUGGAGUCUCCUGCUGGACACUUGGGAUUAGAAUGGAGACAGUCAAGUUAACAGACAGUAAUGCUGGACCUGGACGGUCACCAGCACGUGUUGGAGACUGAGGGCACCAGCCAGUGUAAGCCAUUGUGGAUGGUGUAAUAGGAGAGCAAAGGAAGGCAAUCUGGGAAUGGGUUGGAUGGGGAGGGAGAAGAGGUGGGGGAAAGAGAGACUUGUAAAAUGGGGGAAGCAGAGGAAGAGAUAACAUGGCAAUGAAGAAAGUAACAUCUUUGGUCAUUUUCUGUUCCAAUCACCCACAGCAGGCCUGUCAGUUCUCUCUUACCUUCUGUUCUCUUUUACCUAAGUAGAUUUUAGUGGCUUUUCUAUUCUUGAUCUCCAACCAUGCCCUAAGACAUAUGGUAACACAGACUGAGGAUUCUCUGAUGGCAGGGCUUUGUCUCAUUCCUUUUUGGAACAAGCGCAAAGUAGAUGCUCAAUGAAUUUAUAUUAAAAUGACAUGAAAAUCAUAUGUUUGUAUCUGAAGUGUCACUGAUGGCAUUUAUAUGAAAAAGGCUAAUUAAAAUAGAUAAUUAUAUUUCAACAGG